rnacentral:rRNA from 1 species
AUUGAACGCUAGCGGGAUGCUUUACACAUGCAAGUCGAACGAGUGGCGGACGGGUGAGCAAUAUAUAGGAACGUGCCCAGUAGCGGGGGAUAACUACUCGAAAGAGUGGCUAAUACCGCACACUAUUGGAGCCGCCGAUAUGGGAUUAGCUAGUGGGUGGGGUAAAGGCUCACCAAGGCAACGAUCCGUAGCUGGUUUGAGAGGAAGACCAGCCACACUGGAACUGAGACACGGCCCAGACUCCUACGGGAGGCAGCAGUGGGGAAUUUUGGACAAUGGGUGCAACCCUGAUCCAGCCAUCCCGCGUGUAUGAGAAGGCCUUCGGGUUGUAAAGUACUUUUGGCAGAGAGGCGGUAUCUGCAGAAUAAGCACCGGCUAACUACGUGCCAGCAGCCGCGGUAAUUC